rnacentral:rRNA from 1 species
AUUGAACGCUGGCGGCAGGCCUAACACAUGCAAGUCGAGCGGAUGAAGGGAGCUUGCUCCUGGAUUCAGCGGCGGACGGGUGAGUAAUGCCUAGGAAUCUGCCUGGUAGUGGGGUAUAACGUCCUGAAACGGGCGCUAAUACCGCAUACGUCCUGAGGGAGAAAGUGGGGGAUCUUCGGACCUCACGCUAUCAGAUGAGCCUAGGUCGGAUUAGCUAGUUGGUGGGGUAAAGGCCUACCAAGGCGACGAUCCGUAACUGGUCUGAGAGGAUGAUCAGUCACACUGGAACUGAGACACGGUCCAGACUCCUACGGGAGGCAGCAGUGGGGAAUAUUGGACAAUGGGCGAAAGCCUGAUCCAGCCAUGCCGCGUGUGUGAAGAAGGUCUUCGGAUUGUAAAGCACUUUAAGUUGGGAGGAAGGGCAGUAAGUUAAUACCUUGCUGUUUUGACGUUACCAACAGAAUAAGCACCGGCUAACUUCGUG